rnacentral:rRNA from 1 species
UACAGAGGUCUCAAGCGUUGUUCGGAUUCAUUGGGCGUAAAGGGUGCGUAGGCGGCGGGGUAAGUCUGGUGUGAAAUCUCGGGGCUCAACCCCGAAACUGCACUGGAUACUGCCUUGCUUGAGUACUGGAGAGGAGAUUGGAAUUUACGGUGUAGCAGUGAAAUGCGUAGAUAUCGUAAGGAAGACCAGUGGCGAAGGCGAAUCUCUGGACAGUUACUGACACUGAGGCACGAAGGCCAGGGGAGCAAACGGG